rnacentral:rRNA from 1 species
UACGAGGGGGUCCUAGCGUUGUUCGGAAUUAUUGGGCGUAAAGGGCGCGUAGGCGGCUGCAUAAGUCAGGUGUGAAAUCCCCCGGGCUCAACCCCGGGAACUGCGUCCCGAUACUGGCAGGCUUGAAUCCGGGAGAGGGAUGCGGAAUUCCAGGUGUAGCGGUGAAAUGCGUAGAUAUCUGGAGGAACACCGGUGGCGAAGGCGGCAUCCUGGACCGACAUUGACGCUGA